CCUACGGGGGGCUGCAGUGGGGAAUAUUGCACAAUGGGCGCAAGCCUGAUGCAGCCAUGCCGCGUGUGUGAAGAAGGCCUUCGGGUUGUAAAGCACUUUCAGCGGGGAGGAAGGCGGUGAGGUUAAUAACCUCAUCGAUUGACGUUACCCGCAGAAGAAGCACCGGCUAACUCCGUGCCAGCAGCCGCGGUAAUACGGAGGGUGCAAGCGUUAAUCGGAAUUACUGGGCGUAAAGCGCACGCAGGCGGUCUGUCAAGUCGGAUGUGAAAUCCCCGGGCUCAACCUGGGAACUGCAUUCGAAACUGGCAGGCUAGAGUCUUGUAGAGGGGGGUAGAAUGCCAGGGGUAGCGGUGAAAUGCGUAGAGAUCUGGAGGAAUACCGGUGGCGAAGGCGGCCCCCUGGACAAAGACUGACGCUCAGGUGCGAAAGCGUGGGGAGCAAACAGGAUUAGAUACCCCUGUAGUC
rnacentral:rRNA from 1 species